GGUUAAGCGACUAAGCGUACACGGUGGAUGCCCUGGCAGUCAGAGGCGAUGAAGGACGUGCUAAUCUGCGAAAAGCGUCGGUAAGGUGAUAUGAACCGUUAUAACCGGCGAUGUCCGAAUGGGGAAACCCAGUGUGAUUCGUCACACUAUCGUUAACUGAAUACAUAGGUUAACGAGGCGAACCGGGGGAACUGAAACAUCUAAGUACCCCGAGGAAAAGAAAUCAACCGAGAUUCCCCCAGUAGCGGCGAGCGAACGGGGAGCAGCCCAGAGUCUGAAUCAGCUUGUGUGUUAGUGGAACGGUCUGGAAAGUCCGACGGUACAGGGUGAUAGUCCCGUACACCAAAAUGCACAGGUUGUGAACUCGAAGAGUAGGGCGGGACACGUGGUAUCCUGUCUGAAUAUGGGGGGACCAUCCUCCAAGGCUAAAUACUCCUGACUGACCGAUAGUGAACCAGUACCGUGAGGGAAAGGCGAAAAGAACCCCGGCGAGGGGAGUGAAAAAGAACCUGAAACCGUGUACGUACAAGCAGUGGGAGCACCUUCGGGUGUGACUGCGUACCUUUUGUAUAAUGGGUCAGCGACUUAUAUUCUGUAGCAAGGUUAACCGUAUAGGGGAGCCGCAGGGAAACCGAGUCUUAACUGGGCGUUAAGUUGCAGGGUAUAGACCCGAAACCCGGUGAUCUAGCCAUGGGCAGGUUGAAGGUUGGGUAACACUAACUGGAGGACCGAACCGACUAAUGUUGAAAAAUUAGCGGAUGACUUGUGGCUGGGGGUGAAAGGCCAAUCAAACCGGGAGAUAGCUGGUUCUCCCCGAAAGCUAUUUAGGUAGCGCCUCGUGAACUCAUCUUCGGGGGUAGAGCACUGUUUCGGCUAGGGGGUCAUCCCGACUUACCAACCCGAUGCAAACUACGAAUACCGAAGAAUGUUAUCACGGGAGACACACGGCGGGUGCUAACGUCCGUCGUGAAGAGGGAAACAACCCAGACCGCCAGCUAAGGUCCCAAAGUCAUGGUUAAGUGGGAAACGAUGUGGGAAGGCACAGACAGCCAGGAUGUUGGCUUAGAAGCAGCCAUCAUUUAAAGAAAGCGUAAUAGCUCACUGGUCGAGUCGGCCUGCGCGGAAGAUGUAACGGGGCUAAACCAUGCACCGAAGCUGCGGCAGCGACACUAUGUGUUGUUGGGUAGGGGAGCGUUCUGUAAGCCUGCGAAGGUGACCUGUGAGGGUUGCUGGAGGUAUCAGAAGUGCGAAUGCUGACAUAAGUAACGAUAAAGCGGGUGAAAAGCCCGCUCGCCGGAAGACCAAGGGUUCCUGUCCAACGUUAAUCGGGGCAGGGUGAGUCGACCCCUAAGGCGAGGCCGAAAGGCGUAGUCGAUGGGAAACAGGUUAAUAUUCCUGUACUUGGUGUUACUGCGAAGGGGGGACGGAGAAGGCUAUGUUAGCCGGGCGACGGUUGUCCCGGUUUAAGCAUGUAGGCUGGUUAUCCAGGCAAAUCCGGAUAAUCAAGGCUGAGGUGUGAUGACGAGGCACUACGGUGCUGAAGUAACAAAUGCCCUGCUUCCAGGAAAAGCCUCUAAGCAUCAGGUAACAUCAAAUCGUACCCCAAACCGACACAGGUGGUCAGGUAGAGAAUACCAAGGCGCUUGAGAGAACUCGGGUGAAGGAACUAGGCAAAAUGGUGCCGUAACUUCGGGAGAAGGCACGCUGGUGUGUAGGUGAAGUCCCUGCGGAUGGAGCUGAGACCAGUCGAAGAUACCAGCUGGCUGCAACUGUUUAUUAAAAACACAGCACUGUGCAAACACGAAAGUGGACGUAUACGGUGUGACGCCUGCCCGGUGCCGGAAGGUUAAUUGAUGGGGUUAUCCGUAAGGAGAAGCUCUUGAUCGAAGCCCCGGUAAACGGCGGCCGUAACUAUAACGGUCCUAAGGUAGCGAAAUUCCUUGUCGGGUAAGUUCCGACCUGCACGAAUGGCGUAAUGAUGGCCAGGCUGUCUCCACCCGAGACUCAGUGAAAUUGAACUCGCUGUGAAGAUGCAGUGUACCCGCGGCAAGACGGAAAGACCCCGUGAACCUUUACUAUAGCUUGACACUGAACAUUGAGCCUUGAUGUGUAGGAUAGGUGGGAGGCUUUGAAGCGUGGACGCCAGUCUGCGUGGAGCCAACCUUGAAAUACCACCCUUUAAUGUUUGAUGUUCUAACGUUGGCCCCUUACCGGGGUUGCGGACAGUGUCUGGUGGGUAGUUUGACUGGGGCGGUCUCCUCCCAAAGCGUAACGGAGGAGCACGAAGGUUAGCUAAUCCUGGUCGGACAUCAGGAGGUUAGUGCAAUGGCAUAAGCUAGCUUGACUGCGAGCGUGACGGCGCGAGCAGGUGCGAAAGCAGGUCAUAGUGAUCCGGUGGUUCUGAAUGGAAGGGCCAUCGCUCAACGGAUAAAAGGUACUCCGGGGAUAACAGGCUGAUACCGCCCAAGAGUUCAUAUCGACGGCGGUGUUUGGCACCUCGAUGUCGGCUCAUCACAUCCUGGGGCUGAAGUAGGUCCCAAGGGUAUGGCUGUUCGCCAUUUAAAGUGGUACGCGAGCUGGGUUUAGAACGUCGUGAGACAGUUCGGUCCCUAUCUGCCGUGGGCGCUGGAGAAUUGAGGGGGGCUGCUCCUAGUACGAGAGGACCGGAGUGGACGCAUCACUGGUGUUCGGGUUGUCAUGCCAAUGGCACUGCCCGGUAGCUAAAUGCGGAAGAGAUAAGUGCUGAAAGCAUCUAAGCACGAAACUUGCCCCGAGAUGAGUUCUCCCUGAGACUUUAAGUCUCCUGAAGGAACGUUAAAGACGAUGACGUUGAUAGGCCGAGUGUGUAAGCGCAGCGAUGCGUUGAGCUAACCGGUACUAAUGAACCGUGAGGCUUAACCUU
rnacentral:rRNA from 1 species